AUACGUAGGUGGCAAGCGUUGUCCGGAAUUAUUGGGCGUAAAGCGCGCGCAGGCGGUCCUUUAAGUCUGAUGUGAAAGCCCACGGCUCAACCGUGGAGGGUCAUUGGAAACUGGGGGACUUGAGUGCAGAAGAGAAGAGUGGAAUUCCACGUGUAGCGGUGAAAUGCGUAGAGAUGUGGAGGAACACCAGUGGCGAAGGCGACUCUUUGGUCUGUAACUGACGCUGAGGCGCGAAAGCGUGGGGAGCAAACAGGAUUAGAUACCCUGGUAGUCCACGCCGUAAACGAUGAGUGCUAAGUGUUAGAGGGUUUCCGCCCUUUAGUGCUGAAGUUAACGCAUUAAGCACUCCGCCUGGGGAGUACGGCCGCAAGGCUGAA
rnacentral:rRNA from 1 species